UGCAUGGACAUGUGGAAAACAGCUCAAACACUACCCCGCUUUCUGUAGAAAUGGGAUUAGAAUAGCGAUCCAAUCCUUUGUUUUUGUCAUGGCUAAAGGAGAGAAUCAUUACCUUGCUUAUUUGGAAGAUAUGUAUGAAGACAAGAGGGGACAAAAGAAAGUCAAAGUGAGGUGGUUUCAUCAUAACCAGGAAGUCAAGGGUGUGGUUCCUCUAAGAAAUGCUCACCCAAAAGAAGUUUUCAUCACACCUUAUUCACAGGUCAUUAGUGCCGAAUGUGUUGAUGGUCCUGCUACUGUCUUGACGUGUGAGCAUUAUGAGGAAUGCUUGGCUGCUUUUCCUAAUGCUUUAUCAACCAGAAUACAUUUGUGCUUUAGGCAGUUCAG
rnacentral:misc_RNA from 1 species